rnacentral:rRNA from 1 species
GGGUCAGUAGGUUGGUCGUGCCACCGGUACGUACUGGUCUCACUGAUUCCUCCUUCCUGAAGAACCGUAGUGCCAUUAAUUUGGUGUUGCGGGGAAACAGGACUGUUACUUUGAAAAGAUUAGAGUGUUUAAAGCAAGCUAACGCUUGAAUACAUUAGCAUGGAAUAAUGAAAUAGGACGAUCGAUCCUAUUUUGUUGGUUUCUAGGAUUGACGUA